ACAUCAUCUACUUUCGGAUUCAUG
rnacentral:siRNA from 1 species